rnacentral:lncRNA from 1 species
CUGCCCACUUCUUGUCAAAUCCAAGAAGGAAGGGACCUGCUGGCCAAACCCUUUUUUCCCACUGGACCUCAGACCCCAAGGAACUUGGAGUCUGCUCAAGUGAGUGAGUUGGGGCUCUUCGCCCUCCCAGAACUGGCUGUUGAUGGAAGAAACCCCUGCGUAGGAAGGAUGGUCCCACACAUCCUUUUAGAUCUGAUUCAAAUCCCACGACUUCCAUGAAGAUGUGUUCCACUUACUCUGAUUUCUCUCUUCUUGGAACUCCUGUCACCCUGGAUUCAUGGAACUCUCCUGCUAUCAUGUGAAGCAGCAUGGACUAGCCUACAGAGGAUGAGGCCUCAUGGAGCAGACAAGCUGUCUCAGUUGAGGCCCUCAAAACCAAUCAAGCUCCAGCUGAACUGCCAGGUGACUGUAGCUGCAUGAGUGACCCCAGGCAAGAUGAGCAGAAGAGGCCCCAACUGAGCCCAACCCAAAUAGCUGACUCAUGGAAUCAUGAGCAAAUAAAAUGGUUGUUUUAAGCCA